GGGGAAUCUUCCGCAAUGGGCGAAAGCCUGACGGAGCAACGCCGCGUGAGUGAAGACGGCCUUCGGGUUGUAAAGCUCUGUUAUAUGGGACGAACGGGUGUAUGGUCAAUACCCAUACGCCGUGACGGUACCGUAAGAGAAAGCCACGGCUAACUACGUGCCAGCAGCCGCGGUAAUACGUAGGUGGCAAGCGUUGUCCGGAAUCAUUGGGCGUAAAGGGCGCGCAGGCGGUUCGGUAAGUCGGUCUUAAAAGUGCGGGGCUUAACCCCGUGAUGGGAUUGAAACUGCCGGACUGGAGUGUCGGAGAGGAAAGCAGAAUUCCUAGUGUAGCGGUGAAAUGCGUAGAUAUUAGGAGGAAUACCAGUGGCGAAAGCGGCUUUCUGGACGACAACUGACGCUGAGGCGCGAAAGCCAGGGGAGCAAACGGGAUUAGAUACCCCGGUAGUCCUGGCCGUAAACGAUGGAUACUAGGUGUAGGAGGUAUCGACCCCUUCUGUGCCGGAGUUAACGCAAUAAGUAUCCCGCCUGGGGAGUACGGCCGCAAGGUUGAAAC
rnacentral:rRNA from 1 species